CUACCAAUCCACUCAGGAAUGAGAUUCCUCCCAAAGUCCUCACUUGGGGAACGCAAUUGACAAUGAGUAGAAAUGUCAUUAUUCUGAUUCAUUGUCUGGAACGACUAAAUGUUUGCACUAGUUUCCCUCAAAAUUUAUUUUUGUUACAUUUUAUAAGUAUAUAUGACAAAUCCCCCGCACACCCCAUUCAAUGUUGUUUCGGUCGCAGUAAUGUUGUGCCAGUUUUCCAGCUAUUCAGUUGUUACAUAAAACAAUGUUUAAUGGGGGGGGGGGGGGGAGGAGGUGAUAUAAGGAGAAAAACGCCCGUCGUUCUAUGGUUUUUGGCCAGGAUUGUAGAAAGCCGCAAAACUAAUAAUUGCAAUCUGUAUAUUACACACCAAAAGUAUAUUUAGAUACGAAUUACACUUAGUCUAAGUAUAUGAGUUUGUAUGCAUUUCAUUUAGGACAGAUAAAAUAACUGUUUUAGGGCAAGUUGACCAUGACGGUCGACAUGGUAACGCUGCCCGAACCCCAAUCCGGGGCGAAACGUCCAAACCUGACCACACCCAAAAAUGACGCUCUCGCCAUAGUGCUAUCUACCAAACCAUAAAAGCUUUGACUAUUCUGAGGUGCUUAUAUGGUUCAGAGAUGAUGCUUUUAGGGGUGGUCAUUGGUAAGUGUGAAAUGCCUAGCACUGAUAUUUCACAAGAAAAUGACCAUGCAAUACUCGUAGUCAAACGUCAAUUUGUGACUCAAAUUCAGAUAAACAGCAGUGGACCUACAUUACCUUUUUUCCUAAAUCUUUUUUAUAGAAACAUAAUUGGUACUUAUUUAAGUAUAUUGACACUGUUUUGCUGUAAAAUAGUUAAUACUUUGUGACCGCAAAUGGACGUAUUUGGCCAAAUUCUCCAAUUUUAAAACUCCGCUGUUUAUCGCCAAUCUCGUUGAAACCUUCCAAAUAUGUACGGCAGCUCAGACAUAAUGGUAUCGAGCACAUUUUAAACAAGUUUUAAAUAGGUUUCAAGCAGAUCCUAGCUGUUUAUUAGGGACCAUUCAUUAUUUAUGACCGGGGGUGGGCUGGCAAAAUUCAAUUAACAACUAACCAAAAUGUCUUGCCCCACCCCCUGCAUCACACAAAAUUCAAUGACCCCCUUCACAUGAAUUCUAAAAAAUAGUCCCCCCCCAAUAUAAUAAAUGUACAGUACUGUAUAGAAAUGAGCUCUUUAAACUUGUUGUAAAAAGCAUCAGAUCUUUCAUUUACUUGUGCUUUCAACAAUUAAUAUGCAUGCCUAUAGGCAAAAACGCAAAAAAGUUGCCGAGCACAAUCGGGACAUGCCUAGCAGAGCUUCCCUGUUGACGAGUAAAAACGGUUAGGAGUAUAGGGUUAGGGUACCGUCUUUUUUAUUAAAAUGUACAUAAUUGAAAUAUGACAAAAAUUUAUGGCAAGUUCAUGGCAAAAGUUAUAAGGUAGAUUGCUUUAAUUUGCCACGCGAGACUUGUAUGGAAUGUUUUGAAAGACUCGUAAACAACAUUUUAUAGGGUGAUAAAAUGCUGCAUUUUUUCUAUUUUGUUUACAUAUUUAUUUUGAUACCCUUAACAAAGGGUUCAAUUUGUUAUUAGUGGAAUGAAAAUGGCUUGGAUGGAAGAAUAACAAGGCCGAAUGCACCAUUUGCAUUAUAGACUAAAUUUUGAUCUAGACAAAAAUUUCAUCACAGCUUGAAAGAGCAUCACAAAAUUAGUAAUAUUCCAAAGUUUCGUUGCGAAAUGUUGUAAAAUACGGAUAAUAUAGCCUUGCGAAAUUUGCAAUUUUCAGUCAUUUUGUAUUACAAACGGGAAAUUGAUGCCCCAACACCCGAUUGGGCUGUCAAUUUCCCGUGCGUAAUACAAAAUGAGUGAAAAACGGUCAUUUUCUUGUAAAAUAUCAGUGCUAGGCAUUUCACACUUACCAAUGACCACCCGUAAAAGCACCAUCUCUGAACCAUAUAAGCACCUCAGAAAAGCCAAAGCUUUUAUGGUUUGGUAGAUAGCACUAUGGCGAGAGCGUCGUUUUUAAUUGGGUGUGGUCAGUUUUGGACGUUUCGCCCCGGAUUGGGGUUCGUAUUAGUUCGAUAACAGUUCGUAUUUCCUUCUUGUACCACUGCUUUUUUGGUGCUGCUUACAUGAAAACUGACUUCAUACAAUGAUUACAACUGUUCACUGUAGUUGCUGUAUUUAUAUAAUUUAUUCCCUCCCUCAUUUCGGUAUGGAACGCUAGCAUAAAUCGUGUUAUAUUCAAUAGAUGCGCAAGAAUAAAAAAACGUCCAUGCAGAUAGGAUGUCGUAUAAAACGAUGUUUUCACAGCAUGUUACACGCGUGGUAACGCGUUUCUCGAACUUCCCCGACGUCAAUAUGACGCAAGCAGUCGCAACGAUCUCCGUUUAAAACUUUUUUUCAGUAAUAAAUUGUUCAUCCGCCUUAUUAAAGUUCCGUUUACCAAGUCAUGCGGACAACGCGCUAAGAGAGUCAAUAUAAUUUCCUAAAAAUAGCUAGUGAGUUUUUGUUGCGAGAAUUCUCAUGAAAAAUAGUGUUGCGGCAGCUUCCUAGAAAUACUCGCUAUUUGUUUCCACUAGUAUGUAAUUUUCAUUUAUCGUUAGUUAAAAAUACCUAGAUUUGUUUUGAUUUGAUAUAAAACUAACUCUUUUAAUAUCGAAAUACAGCAUAUUAACGUAAACUAAAAACAUCAGUGCUCCUCUUAACAUUAAACCUUUGUUGUUGUUGUUGUUGUUGUGUCUAUAUUUUCCGAUUCGCGUUAAUUUAAUUAAUUUGUCAACCAUGGAUAUCAGACCUAGAAGCAAUCCGCGUUAAUUUGAUGUCGCGUUAAUUUAUGUGGCGUUAAUAAAGUGCAUCGUUAAUUUCCUAUAAUAAGGUAUAUACCGUAUAACAAAAUUUAAAAGUCAUUAAAAAGACACUUAUUUAAAAAUCAUUGUUUAAAACGUUGUGUGUAUACUUCUGGCAACAUAAAUUGAUGAUCGCGUUCUCUUAAAGGUCGUUGACGUUUUUCCGGUAACAACUCAUAUAGGCAAUGUUCAGGAUUGUGCAUGACCUUAUUGAACAAUAGUCGAUCCCUCUCCUCAAUCACCUUGGCCAUUGAAUAUUUAUUUUGAGUGUAUCCAUGUCGGAAUGCACGAUUAAGAAACUUGUUGUCUGUUGAAUUUAUCAAUGUAUUUCGCUUGCAAAGCCGAUCCCCAUACUUCAAUUGCAUAGUAAAAUAACGAUAGGAUGAAUGAAUCGAACAAUUUAGUAAGUUCAUUUUGCGAACACCCGUAGAAUUUACAAACUCUCAGGAUGUAAAUUCGACUUCCUGCCUUUGACAACAAGCUAUCUACCUGCUUGUCUUGGGACAACGUGGGUUUUCUUGAAAGGUGACACCAAGUAGUUUUAACCACUUUUGACGUCGUAUUCCAUUAAUAGGGGGGGGGGGAUGAACGAGUACAUAGUAACAUUCCCAGGGUUUUUUUAAAUUAAGUGUCAUUCUAUUGUUACUUGCCCAACUCUCAAUGUUGGUUACCUCGUCCAAUUAAGCCGAGUCACCAGACGGUGUGACAGGAACACUCACUGUUAAAUCAUCUGCAGACUUCGCCAAAUUGUUCUUUUGUGGAUGUUUGACUUCAAUAUCAUUGACCAUUAACGAAAA
rnacentral:lncRNA from 1 species